rnacentral:lncRNA from 1 species
UCCGUGGUUCUCUAGAAGAAGACUACUUUUGUAUGCAUUUCCAAUAAGGUCCUAUGUUAAACUAAGCCCCCCCCCCCCCGGUGGCAGCCAUCUUGGAUGAUGGAUCGGAGACAAAGUAACAACACUUGGUCAGCAUCUCAUAAGGAACAUUCAUGCCAUGUUUGGUUUCAUUCCAUUCAGUGGUUCUCUAGAGAAGUCAUUUGUAUGCAUAUCCCAUAGGGUCCUAUGUUAAAC